rnacentral:rRNA from 1 species
GACGAACGCUGGCGGCGUGCUUAACACAUGCAAGUCGAACGGAAAGGCCCUGCUUUUGUGCGGUGCUCGAGUGGCGAACGGGUGAGUAACACGUGAGUAACAUGCCCUUGACUUUGGGAUAACUUCAGGAAACUGGGGCUAAUACCGGAUAGGAGCUCCUGCUGCAUGGUGGGGGUUGGAAAGUUUCGGCGGUUGGGGAUGGACUCGCGGCUUAUCAGCUUGUUGGUGGGGUAGUGGCUUACCAAGGCUUUGACGGGUAGCCGGCCUGAGAGGGUGACCGGCCACAUUGGGACUGAGAGACGGCCCAGACUCCUACGGGAGGCAGCAGUGGGGAAUCUUGCACAAUGGGCGGAAGCCUGAUGCAGCAACGCCGCGUGCGGGAUGACGGCCUUCGGGUUGUAAACCGCUUUCGCCUGUGGCGAAGCGUGAGUGACGGUAAUGGGUAAAGAAGCACCGGCUAACUACGUG